rnacentral:rRNA from 1 species
AGCGAACGCUGGCGGCAGGCCUAACACAUGCAAGUCGAACGAACGCUUCGGAGUUAGUGGCGGACGGGUGAGUAACACGUGGGAACGUGCCUUUUGGUUCGGAAUAACGCAGGGAAACUUGUGCUAAUACCGAAUGUGCCCUUCGGGGGAAAGAUUUAUCGCCAUUAGAGCGGCCCGCGCCUGAUUAGCUAGUUGGUGAGGUAACGGCUCACCAAGGCGACGAUCAGUAGCUGGUCUGAGAGGAUGACCAGCCACACUGGGACUGAGACACGGCCCAGACUCCUACGGGAGGCAGCAGUGGGGAAUCUUGCGCAAUGGGCGAAAGCCUGACGCAGCCAUGCCGCGUGAAUGAUGAAGGUCUUAGGAUUGUAAAAUUCUUUCACCGGGGACGAUAAUGACGGUACCCGGAGAAGAAGCCCCGGCUAACUUCGUG